rnacentral:rRNA from 1 species
UACGGAGGAUCCAAGCGUUAUCCGGAAUCAUUGGGUUUAAAGGGUCCGUAGGCGGUUUUGUAAGUCAGUGGUGAAAGCCCAUCGCUCAACGGUGGAACGGCCAUUGAUACUGCCAGACUUGAAUUAUUAGGAAGUAACUAGAAUAUGUAGUGUAGCGGUGAAAUGCUUAGAGAUUACAUGGAAUACCAAUUGCGAAGGCAGGUUGCUACUAAUGGAUUGACGCUGAUGGACGAAAGCGUGGGUAGCGAACAGG